rnacentral:tRNA from 1 species
GGGUAGAUUCCCGAGCGGUCAAAGGGGCAGACUGUAAAUCUGUUAGCAUUUGCUUUCGAAGGUUCGAAUCCUUCUCUACCCACCA